CGAUUAUGAAUAACCCAGAGAAAUUUGAUUAAUUAUUACCCUCAGAUCAAGUGAUCAUUUAGUUGUUGAUAUCACAGGCUGUCUUCGUGGAGUUGUGUUGAAGCCGAUUGUCUGUUCUCAAACCUCAGACGUUGAAGACCAAGGAUCAGUUGCAUCCGUGGAUUCUGAAGGAGGAAAGAGAUUUGGUGUUGUAUUUGGAGGUUCUCAGAGAUAUAAAUUUAAAAGAUUGCCAAAUCGCAACGGAGAAUAUCAAUCCAAAUAAACCGUGAUGCUCAAUCCCAAUCAACGGUGAGGAUCAAUCUAAGGAGUGGACGGGUCAAGUAUAAGAUCCGCGUGUGCCUUCUCAAGUUAGCCCAUCAGUCUUUAUAAAUAACGGAUCCAAUAGCCCAUGAUCCAUGGAUCUUUGUUUAUCAAAUUAUGCUUUUAACCUUCCAUGUGUUUUUAAAUUUAAUCUUUGAAU